AGAGUGGCGAACGGGUGAGUAAUAUAUCGGAAACGUGCCCAGUCUGGGGGAUAACGUAGCGAAAGCUACGCUAAUACCGCAUACGAUCUAUGGAUGAAAGCGGGGGAUCGCAAGACCUCGCGCGAUUGGAGCGGCCGAUAUCAGAUUAGGUAGUUGGUGAGGUAAAGGCUCACCAAGCCGACGAUCUGUAGCUGGUCUGAGAGGACGACCAGCCACACUGGGACUGAGACACGGCCCAGACUCCUACGGGAGGCAGCAGUGGGGAAUUUUGGACAAUGGGCGCAAGCCUGAUCCAGCAAUGCCGCGUGCAGGAUGAAGGCCUUCGGGUUGUAAACUGCUUUUGUACGGAACGAAACGGUGAGCUCUAAUACAGUUUGCUAAUGACGGUACCGUAAGAAUAAGCACCGGCUAACUACGUG
rnacentral:rRNA from 1 species